UAACCCACGUUUGGGGCCAAAUUUAUGGAAACCCUAGUUUUAGGGUUUCCAUAAUUCUCGAUUUACCCCUAAACCCUCCAUUCUUCCUUCAUCAACCCUCUCGUCUUCUUCUACUCAACCCGUCUUCAACAUUUUCCUCAAUCAAAAUCUUCCCUUCAUCUCUUUAAUCGACUGUGGCCUUUCUAAUAAAUCUCAUCGUUCGUUAUGUUGCCAAAAAAAAAUUACUAUCCGUGCACAAAAUCAAAUUCAUCUCUUUAAUUCGGUUGUGGUCUUCCUCAUAAAUCAUACUCUGGCGUUCGAUUUCUUGCCAAAAAAAAUUCGUUUAGGGCUUCCACCCUUUUGUGUUUUCUAUCAACUUCAUGUUAUAUGUUUGUUUAACAUUCAUUUGAAACUAAUUGAUGUGGCUUUCAUGGUGCUAUUAUUAAAUUUCUUUUCUGAUCCAAUUGUAGGAGGAGUUCUUGAAAGUUGUUAUGGAAUUUUUACUACUUAGAGAACAUACACGACUUAUUCCUCAAGGUGGACUUGAGGACUCGAGGACUUAGAGGAGUUUCCAGAUGCCAUACUCAAUGGGAAGCGUCUUGACAUCUAUAACUUAUAUAAAGAGGUGGUCAUCCGAGGAGGCUUUCACAUGGAUAAUGAUAUCAGCAAGAAGGGGCAGAUCUUCUCUAAUUUGCACAAUUACACAAUGACCAAUAGAAUGACUGAUUAUGCCAAAUGCCAAAACAGAUGGGUUGGAGUAUGUUUGUUCGCAUUGUAGUAUUACAACUUACAAGAAGAAACCGCAUCGAGUCCGAGUAGCAAAUGGGUCUCUGCAAGGAAUAACAAAUCCACGGAUACCUUGAUUCAGUUUUGGCCUUUUCAUCUCGAGGUUUCGGCUACGUUGCUUUUGUUUUGUUUUUUCACCUAUUCUUAUUCUACACUAGAAAUUAUUUGUUCUAUCGACUCGUAGAUGAGUUUGUUUUAUAUCAGUGUGCUGCUAAACCCAUUAGCUGGAAUUUUAUGAGACUGAGGAUGAAAACUCGAAAGGAAAGAAAAGAAGUAAAGACUAGAGCACACAAAAAGCACAUCAUCGUAGGUUCUUUUUUGACCUCUUCUUUGUAUAGGUAAUAGUUUAGGAGUGAAGUUAGCAGCAACAUGACAGUUAACUUUUGUAGGAACAAGGUGCUAUAAAAUACUUCUCUUCCUGUAGCUAAGCCAUGACUGAUGUAUUUUAAUGAAGAAUUUACCAUUAUUUUGUAUAUGAUAGGACGAUCCAAGAAAAGUAGAUAAA